AGAUUGAACGCUGGCGGCAGGCCAUAACACAUGCAAGCUCGGACGGUAGCACAGAGGAGCUUGCUCCUUGGGUGACGAGUGGCGGACGGSUGAGUAAUGUCUGGGGAUCUGCCCGAUAGAGGGGGAUAACCACUGGAAACGGUGGCUAAUACCGCAUAACGUCGCAAGACCAAAGAGGGGGACCUUCGGGCCUCUCACUAUCGGAUGAACCCAGAUGGGAUUAGCUAGUAGGCGGGGUAAUGGCCCACCUAGGCGACGAUCCCUAGCUGGUCUGAGAGGAUGACCAGCCACACUGGAACUGAGACACGGUCCAGACUCCUACGGGAGGCAGCAGUGGGGAAUAUUGCACAAUGGGCGCAAGCCUGAUGCAGCCAUGCCGCGUGUAUGAAGAAGGCCUUCGGGUUGUAAAGUACUUUCAGCGGGGAGGAAGGCGAUGCGGUUAAUAACCGUGUCGAUUGACGUUA
rnacentral:rRNA from 1 species